rnacentral:rRNA from 1 species
AAUGAACGUUGGCGGCGUGGAUUAGGCAUGCAAGUCGCGCGAGAAACUAAUUAGCUUGCUAAGAAGUGGACAGUGGCGCAAGGGAGAGUAACGCGUGGUUACUUGCCCUCGAGACCGGGAUAGUGUUGGGAAACUGGCAGUAAUACCGGAUAACAUCUUCGGAUCAAAUGGUGUGAAUAAAAUCGAGGAUAGGACCGCGUACUAUUAGCUUGUUGGUGAGGUAACGGCUCACCAAGGCUGCGAUGGUUACCGGGUGUGAGAGCAUGGCCCGGCUCACUGGGACUGAGACACUGCCCAGACACCUACGGGUGGCUGCAGUCGAGAAUCUUCGGCAAUGGGCGAAAGUCUGACCGAGCGACGCCGCGUGCGGGAUGAAGGCCCUCGGGUUGUAAACCGCUGUCAGUAGUUAGGAAAUCUAUGAGGGUUAUCUCUCAUGGUUGACCGAUCUUCAGAGGAAGGACGGGCUAAGUUCGUGCCAGCAGG